GGUUGAUUGCAUAUCUUGAGUUUUAAUACUGCAGUAGGAAACAUAAUGUGUAGGACUUUCCCACACAGCCUGCUAUCUAGUGGGUACUCAGGUCCUUUCCUGGGUGUAAAGUAUGGUCAGGGCAAGACACUGACCACUCACCCCAAUGGGGUUAAGAAUGAGUAACAGCUAUACCUUCUUUUCCCCCCCAGUGCCUUCAUGGUAUAUAGUGGGACAGUUUUACUAUUUUGGUAAUAUUUUUUUUCAGUUCUGAUGAAAUGUGGUGUAUGUAAUGCUAACUAAAGGUUCUGAAGGAAAUCAGAUUUUGAACUAGAAUGUUGGUAUUACCAAUGUAAAUAUGGAUGUACAGUUGUUUCAAAUGUUUCCACGUGAUGGUAAAAUUGGAAGCUGGAAAUGCCAAGGAGACAUCAAUGAAGAAAACAAAGCAUUUUUUGAUGGGAAAAAUUAAUUCUUUGGAGUGAAAGGUGAAGGUCACUCAGCUGGCCAAAAAAUUCCCUGUCCUUAUAUGGGACAAGAAGGCUCAUUAUUACGGUGUUUAUAAAAUUCCACCACAGGGAAAAAGGCACGGCUUGGUUGGUUGGGAGAUUAGCUUUGUCCUCUUUGUUUUAAUUUCUUUUUCUUAAAAAAUCCAAGAUUUAUGGAGUUAACAUUUUGGGUGGCUCGUGGACAGGGUGGGGGCAGUGACGUCAGGACCAUAAUGCAAUAGAUAUCUGUGGGAGGUGAAUGAGGAAGUGCAGAGUCAUUCUACUUUCGAGAACGUGCGUGGAAGGAGUUGGUAGUUUUGCGUGAUGUCACGUUGUAAGAAACGAAAUGCUGCCAUCAUAUCCUCGGAAGUGAACGUCACAGUUACCUGCUUUAGGUGUGUCUAAAUGGUGCAGACGAUGUUUCGCGUGACCCUGCUAGGUUACAUUGCCUUGUCACUGAGAAGUCAGUAUGUGUAUAGGUAGUUUACCUUGUUGGGUUUACCAUUUUACACAUAAACAUAUUUUGCAAAGAAUUAUAUCUGUACAAAGUUCCAGGAUCUCUUGUUGAAUGUAAAACUGCAUAAAAGUUUCUGACUUGACUGUUUCCAGUACUAAAGGCUUGUUCACACACAGCCAGUAAUUUAGUCGAGUAGCGAGUAGUAU